CCUACGGGGGGCAGCAGUGGGGAAUAUUGGACAAUGGGGGCAACCCUGAUCCAGCCAUGCCGCGUGUGUGAAGAAGGCCCUCGGGUUGUAAAGCACUUUCAGUGAGGAAGAACGCCUGGUGGUUAAUACCCAUCAGGAAAGACAUCACUCACAGAAGGAGCACCGGCUAACUCCGUGCCAGCAGCCGCGGUAAUACGGAGGGUGCGAGCGUUAAUCGGAAUUACUGGGCGUAAAGCGCGCGUAGGUGGCUUGAUAAGCCGGUUGUGAAAGCCCCGGGCUCAACCUGGGAACGGCAUCGGGAACUGUCAAGCUAGAGUGCAGGAGAGGAAGGUAGAAUUCCCGGUGUAGCGGUGAAAUGCGUAGAGAUCGGGAGGAAUACCAGUGGCGAAGGCGGCCUUCUGGACUGACACUGACACUGAGGUGCGAAAGCGUGGGUAGCAAACAGGAUUAGAUACCCGAGUAGUC
rnacentral:rRNA from 1 species